rnacentral:rRNA from 1 species
UUCGUAGGCGGUGUGGCAAGUCGGGAGUGAAAUCUCUGGGCUUAACUCAGAGGCUGCUUCCGAAACUGCCGUGCUUGAGUGUGGGAGAGGCGCGUGGAAUUGCAGGUGUAGCGGUGAAAUGCGUAGAUAUCUGCAGGAACACCCGUGGCGAAAGCGGCGCGCUGGACCACAACUGACGCUGAGGAACGAAAGCUAGGGGAGCAAACAGGAUUAGAUACCCUGGUAGUCCUAGCCCUAAACGAUCAGGACUUGGGGUGCCGCCCGUUCGGGCGUCGUCCCGGAGCUAACGCGUUAAGUCCUGCACCUGGGGAGUACGGUCGCAAGACUGAA